CUUGCCUACGGGGGGCAGCAGUGGGGGAUAUUGCACAAUGGGGGGAACCCUGAUGCAGCGACGCCGCGUGAGCGAUGGAGUACUUCGGUAUGUAAAGCUCUGUCAGCAGGGAAGAAAAUGACGGUACCUGACCAAGAAGCCCCGGCUAACUACGUGCCAGCAGCCGCGGUAAUACGUAGGGGGCAAGCGUUAUCCGGAUUUACUGGGUGUAAAGGGAGCGUAGACGGCAAGGCAAGCCAGAAGUGAAAGGGCAGGGCUCAACCCUGUACAUGCUUUUGGAACUGUGGAGCUAGAGUGCAGGAGAG
rnacentral:rRNA from 1 species